AAUCCGAUUAUCCCCGCUAAACCCAACCAUUUCUUGCCAAUCAGCUUGYAUACUUCCGUCGUAAGUUUACCAUGUGAAAGACCGAUAGUGGGCACAAUGUUCCGUUUCACCAGUACGUCAGGUCAAGGUGCAGCCUAUGAAAUGGGAGAGGUGGGCUACAAUUUCUAAAAACUAGAACACACGAAAACCCUGCAUGAAAACCCAGAAAUGAAGGUGGAUUUAGUAGUAAAAAGAAAAUAGAGUGUUCUUUUUAAUGAGGCGCUGGGGCGAGUAC
rnacentral:rRNA from 1 species